rnacentral:misc_RNA from 1 species
AACGGUCUAUACCUGCGGUACCUGCGGAAGGAUCAUUAGUGAACGCCCUCACGGGCUUAUAACUAUUCCAAACCUCUGUGAACCGUGCCCUUCGGGGCUAUUCUACAAACAUGGUGUAAUGAACGUCAUAUAUCAUAACAAAACAAAACUUUCAACAACGGAUCUCU